GACAGAGGCCUCAAGCGUUUAGGCGGAAUCACUGGGCUUAAAGCGUGUGUAGGCGGAUCGUUAAGUGCCUUGUGAAAUCCCACGGCUCAACCGUGGAACUGCUGGGCAUACUGGCGUUCUUGAGCCAGCCAGGGGUCGUCGGAACAAACGGUGGAGCGGUGAAUGCGUAGAUAUCGUUUGGAACGCCAAAGGCGAAAGCAGACGACUGGGGCUGAGCUGACGCUGAGACAC
rnacentral:rRNA from 1 species